rnacentral:rRNA from 1 species
GAUGAACGCUGGCGGCGUGCCUAAUACAUGCAAGUCGAGCGAACGGACGAGAAGCUUGCUUCUCUGAUGUUAGCGGCGGACGGGUGAGUAACACGUGGAUAACCUACCUAUAAGACUGGGACAACUUCGGGAAACCGGAGCUAAUACCGGAUAAUAUUUUGAACCGCAUGGUUCAAAAAUGAAAGACGGUCUUGCUGUCACUUAUAGAUGGAUCCGCGCUGCAUUAGCUAGUUGGUAAGGUAACGGCUUACCAAGGCAACGAUGCAUAGCCUACCUGAGAGGGUGAUCGGCCACACUGGAACUGAGACACGGUCCAGACUCCUACGGGAGGCAGCAGUAGGGAAUCUUCCGCAAUGGGCGAAAGCCUGACGGAGCAACGCCGCGUGAGUGAUGAAGGUCUUCGGAUCGUAAAACUCUGUUAUUAGGGAAGAACAUAUGUGUAAGUAACUGUGCACAUCUUGACGGUACCUAAUCAGAAAGCCACGGCUAACUACGUG